rnacentral:rRNA from 1 species
GGAAACGAAAGCUAAUACCCAAUAUGCUGUGGAGUGAAAGAAUUUCGCCGAGAGACGAUCUUGCGUCUGAUUAGCUUGUUGGGGUGGUAAUGGCACACCAAGGCGACGAUCAGUAGCUGGUCUGAGAGGAUGGACAGCCACAUUGGGACUGAGACACGGCCCAGACUCCUACGGGAGGCAGCAGUGGGGAAUUUUCCGCAAUGGACGAAAGUCUGACGGAGCGACGCUGCGUGAAGGAUGAAGGCCCGUGGGUUGUAAACUUCUUUUCUCGAAGAAGAAAAAAAUGACGGUAUUCGAGGAAUAAGCAUCGGCUAACUCUGUGCCAGCAGCCGCGGUAAGACAGAGGAUGCAAGUGUUAUUCGGAAUGAUUGGGCGUAAAGAGUCUGUAGGCGGUUUAGAAAGUCUUUUGUGAAAUACUUCAGCUCAACUGAGGCUCCGCAAAAGAAACUUCUAGACUUGAGGAAAGUAGAGGUACAGGGAAUUUCCGGUGGAGCGGUGAAAUGCGUAGAUAUCGGAAGGAACACCAAUAUGGCGAAGGCACUGUACUGGGCUUUUCCUGACGCUCAGAGACGAAAGCUGAAGGAGUGAUUAGGAUUAGAUACCCUAGUAAUUUCAGCCGUAAACGAUGAAAACUCACUGUCGAGCCAAUAUAUGGAGCGGUGGUCAAGCUAACGCGUGAAGUUUUCCGCCUGGGGAUUACGCUUGCAAAAGUGAAACUCAAAGGAAUUGACGGGGACCCGCACAAGCGGUGGAGUAUGUGGUUUAAUUCGAUGCAACGCGAAAAACCUUACCAGGGUUUGAAAUAAUUUCAAAACUUCUUGAAAGAGAAGCCUCCUUCGGGAUGGAAUUACAGGUGGUGCAUGGCUGUCGUCAGCUCGUGUUGUGAAAUGUCAAGUUAAGUCUUGUAACGAGCGCAACCCAUGUCUCUUGUUGCUGUUUACAGUGCUUAAGAGAAACUGCCGAUCAACAUCGGAGGAAGGUGUGGAUGAUGUCAAGUCAGCAUGCCCCUUACAUCCUGGGCUACACACGUACUACAAUGG